UUAGCUGAUCUGCUACUGUGUUUGCCUUUCCUUAUAGACCUUCACUAUUAGAAUACGCGGCCUUAUGGAUACGGUCUCCGCAUAUUGGGUCCGCAGCAACCAGGCGUGGUGCUUCUCUCCCAGGAGUUGAUCGCCGCUCUACUUGCAUGCUCUUUGUUUUGUUUGUUUCCAAUCUCUGAUAGAGGUCCAAGACAUCUGCCAACUAUCAACUUUGAUCAAUUGUUUGCGAGUCUCUGUGAGAGCCAAUAAAAUAAGUUGAGGUGCAUUGUGCACUAUUUCCAAAGGAUAUGUUUGCAAAUGCCUACAGGAUAUGUCUCAUUUGAGCGCAAGCUUCUCUCUUUAGGACACCAGCCUUUGCAAUCAUGCCUUUCUUAUCCAUAUGCUGAUUUUUGGACCAAAUCAACUAUCCCUCUGUGCCCUUU